CUCCUUCCCCCAUUCCUUCCCCUCCCUCCUCUGCCCCUUCCUGCCAAUGGCCUCUGCCCCUCAGUUUCUCCCCUGCCUGUGCAUCUUUCACCCCGCCCUCUGCCCCCGUUCACUGGUCAGAGGGUCCCCCUCACGUGUCAUCCGAUGGAAGCCCCACGGAGGAGAUGCCUAGAAACACCUGCCGGGGUGGAGGAGCGGCCUCACAAGUGGCAGGACACUCUCUUGGAUGUACAUGUGAUGCUUAAGAGCCAGCAGCCACUUUAGCACCACAAGGUUAAAAGCUGCUGUUAUUUUUAUAAAAAAUGUAGGUUCCCAGACUCAAUUCCAGCGUGGGAGGAGGGGUCCCCACACUGAACACUAGACGAUCCCCGGAUACCAGAGUGCCCAGGAUUCUCCGUCCUGACACCGUCCACCCAGGGACAGUGACAGGGGCCACGGGUUAGGGGUUCAGCCCCACACGAUCACCCCGCCCCCCAGUGCUCCCAACCACAGGCCACAGAGAGGAGGGUCCUCCUCCACGGGCUCUUCCAGUUGGUUAGAGCGGCUCCCAGAAGUCAGGGAAACGUGCACGUUUACCACCUUUUGGAUGGAUACGACCAUGUGUACACGCAGGGUGGAGGGGCUGCCUGAGAGCCACCGGGAGAGCAGCCAACUCCCCGUCAUCUCCGACUCUCAGAAGCCAGAACUGAGACGACAGGAGUGUUUGUCACCCUGUCCGUGGGGUUUGUGACGGCAGCAUCGGUGGGAGGCGACCGGAGGCUCUAAGACGCGCUGUCCUGAGCGGUUUGACCCGCAUUUCUUCCCCACCUGCUCGCCGUGCUCGGGACGGUCUUGGGCGACGCCUGUCAUGAUGUAAUUAUUGUUAAAUAGAAAAUCGCA